rnacentral:rRNA from 1 species
GAUGAACGCUAGCGGCAGGCUUAAUACGUGCAAGUCAAGGGGGUAGCAAUACAACCGGCGCACGGGUGAGUAACGCGUACACAACAUACCAUAUACUGGAGUAUAGCUUUGGGAAACUGAAGGUAAUCCUCCAUAACAUUGCGAGAGGGCAUCUGAUUGCAAUUAAAGUUUCGGCGGUAUAUGAUUGGUGUGCGUUUGAUUAGCUAGUUGAUAGGGUAACGGCCUACCAAGGCGACGAUCAAUAGCUGGCGUGAGAGCGCGACCAGCCACACUGGAACUGAGACACGGUCCAGACUCCUACGGGAGGCAGCAGUAGGGAAUAUUGGACAAUGGAGGAAACUCUGAUCCAGCCAUGCCGCGUGAAGGAUGAAGGCCUUAGGGUUGUAAAGUCCUUUCUAGAUGGGAAGAUAAUGACGGUACCAUCAGAAGAAGCCCCGGCUAACUACCGUGCCAGCAGCCGCGGU